AAGUGUACAUCACCACUCUGGUGUAAAGGUAAAUGAAACUCUAAUUGCUAACUCCUCAUUUACAAGCUAUGAUUAUUUAACACAUCAUCAGGCAUGGGUAACUUUUGGAACAUUGAACAGGAAGUUGUGAUUCAAGACUGAUAGCCUGUAUGUGCAAUUUAACAGUAUGUUCCUCCUAUAUAAGCAAUGAUGUUUGGACUGGCUUUUCGAAACAAAUCAUAUCCUUUUACCUUCUGCAGCAUAAAACAAUAGAAUAUUUACAAGAGGAAGUGCUUUCUUACCAAAAGAAAAUGAAGGAGGAAGUAUCUGAAAUAAAUGUAUGGAAACAAACUGAAUUUGGCUUUUCGAAGACAUCUAUGUUGUGGAGAUCCUGACAUCAUAGGAGAGAACAUGGGAACUAGACAGAUGAGAGAGAUGGACAAAGAGACAGACAGAUACAGACAUGCAUAGUAAAUCGCUUGGGAUUUCUAUCAUUUGGCUGUGGGAAGGAGAAGAGCCCCUCCUUCACAAAGAGAAGAAAAUUACAUCUUUACAAGUCUUCUAACUACUCCAAAGAUAAGAAAACUGAAGCACUUACAAAUUAAGUAGUUGUCCAAAGCCAACAGAUUAAGAGAGCUGAGAUACAAGCCAUCGCACUCUGUCCCACUGGAAUUGGUAGAUAGGAUGCAUUCUAUGAUCCUUUAAGUUACAGUUGUUUACAAUUGAUUGUGAUUAAUAUCAUGGGUGUAAUAAACUCACCUUGAAGUGUGUU